rnacentral:rRNA from 1 species
UACGGAGGGUGCAAGCGUUGCUCGGAAUCACUGGGCGUAAAGAGCGUGUAGGCGGUUUCGUAUGUCUGACGUGAAAGCCCCGGGCUCACCCCGGGAAGUGCGCUUAAAACUGGGGGACUAGGGUCCCGGAGAGGAAGGUGGAAUUCCCAGUGUAGCGGUGAAAUGCGUAGAUAUUUGGAAGAACUCCGGUGGCGAAAGCGGCCUUUUGGACCGGUACCGACGCUCAAGUGCGAAAGCGUGGGGAGCAAACAGG